AACGAACGCUGGCGGCGUGCCUAACACGUGCAAGUCGAACGUGAUUGAGGAGCUUGCUCCUAAUGAAAGUGGCGCACGGGUGAGUAACGCGUAGAUAAUCUGCCUGAUGAUUCGGGAUAACACUUCGAAAGGGGUGCUAAUACCGGAUAAGCCCACGGAGACUCUGGUCUUUGCGGGAAAAGGAGGGGACCUUCGGGCCUUCCGUCAUCAGAUGAGUCUGCGUACCAUUAGCUAGUUGGUAGGGUAAAGGACUACCAAGGCGACGAUGGUUAGCUGGUCGGAGAAGAUGAUCAGCUACACUGGAACUGAGAAACGGUACAGACUCCUACGGGAGGCAGCAGUGGGGAAUUUUGCGCAAGGGGGGAAACCCUGACGCAGGAACGCCGCGUGAGUGAUGGAGGCCCUGGGGUCGUAAAGCUCUGACAGAGGGAAAGAAAUGUGGGUGGCUAAUAUCCAUACCACUUGACGGUACCCUCAAAGGAAGCACCGGCUAACUCCGUGCCAGCCGCCGCAGUAAAAC
rnacentral:rRNA from 1 species